rnacentral:tRNA from 2 species
UAGGGAUGACAGGAUUUGAACCUGCGACAUUUUGUACCCAAAACAAACGCGCUACCAAGCU